rnacentral:rRNA from 1 species
UCAGUCGACUCCUACGGGGAGGCAGCAGUGGGGAAGUAUUGCACAAUGGGCGCAAGCCUGAUGCAGCCAUGCCGCGUGUGUGAAGAAGGACCUUCGGGUUGUAAAGCACUUUCAGUCGUGAGGAAGGUAGUGUAGUUAAUAGCUGCAUUAUUUGACGUUAGCGACAGAAGAAGCACCGGCUAACUCCGUGCCAGCAGCCGCGGUAAUACGGAGGGUGCGAGCGUUAAUCGGAAUUACUGGGCGUAAAGCGCAUGCAGGUGGUUUGUUAAGUCAGAUGUGAAAGCCCGGGGCUCAACCUCGGAAUAGCAUUUGAAACUGGCAGACUAGAGUACUGUAGAGGGGGGUAGGAAUUUCAGGUGUAGCGGUGAAAUGCGUAGAGAUCUGAAGGAAUACCGGUGGCGAAGGCGGCCCCCUGGACAGAUACUGACACUCAGAUGCGAAAGCGUGGGGAGCAAACAGGAUUAGAUACCCUGGUAG